rnacentral:piRNA from 1 species
UGAUGUCAUAAAUCAGGCUGUAGCCAAUG